rnacentral:rRNA from 1 species
AUUGAACGCUGGCGGCAGGCUUAACACAUGCAAGUCGAGCGAGCGGCGGACGGGUGAGUAAUGUAUCGGGACCUGCCCGAUAGAGGGGGAUAACUACUGGAAACGGUGGCUAAUACCGCAUACUAUUGGAUCAACCCAUAUGGGAUUAGCUAGUUGGUGGGGUAAAGGCUCACCAAGGCGACGAUCCCUAGCUGGUUUGAGAGGAAGAACAGCAACACUGGGACUGAGACACGGCCCAGACUCCUACGGGAGGAAGCAGUGGGGAAUGUUGGACAAGGGGGGCAACCCUGAUCCAGCCAUCCCGCGUGUAUGAGGAAGGCCUUAGGGUUGUAAAGUACUUUCGGCGGAGAAGCGUUACCCGCAGAAGAAGCACCGGCUAACUACGUGCCAGCAGCCGCGGUAAUGC